AUGAAUAAAAAGGUACUAAUUAGUGAAUAUACAAAUGUUUUAGAAGAUAGCAAAACAAAUGUAGGGCGUAUUUGUAAUGGUACCGAUUUUUAUACUGGUUUUGCUGGUACAACUACAUCUAUUAUUCACAAUAGUAAUAAAAGUUUAUUUGAGCCUAAAUUUAACCUUUUUUUUGAAAUUUCCUCAAAAAUUAUAAAGCUAGUUUUGAAACAAGACUUAUCUAUAUAUAUUAUACAAAAUUGUGUGGAUAUUAUUUUACGAUUAUGUGAUUUAUACAAUCAAGAAAUGUUAUUUUUGGAUUUUCUUUUAUUAUUUAAAUUUUCUAUUAAAAAUGAUAAAAAAAAAGUAACUCGUUUUUUAAUUUUAGUUAUUAAGCUAAUUACUGCUUAUAAAAAUAGUUUAAAAAAAAAAAUUUUUUUUUUUAAAAUAAUGAAAGAUGUUAGUUCUUUUUUACAAUUGUUGUAUAUAAACAACUCAGAUAUAUGUAUGUUAACUAGAGAAUGUUUAGAAUCAUUAAAAUGUUUCGAUUGGUUUGGAUAUAAGUAUUUGAAAAAUAGGAGUGAAGAAGAACAAACUGUUUUGUUAUAUAAAUUUAACAGUACUACUGGUCAAUUAAAAAAUAACAAAACAGUUAUCGAAAACGAAAUUAUAAAAAUUAUGAACUUAAUUUUAUUUCAUUUGAAUGAUAUAUAUCGAAUUAGUAGUAAAAAAGGAGCUGAUAGAGAAGAUACAAAACAUAUAUUUGAAAAAUUAUAUUAUAAUGUAAUAAUACUUUAUGACCCAUUAUAUAAUACUUAUAUAUAUGAUCAAAUUGAGAAUAAAAAAAAAAAAUUAUUUUUUAAAUAUAAAAAUAAGGACGAAAAACAUAUUAUAAUGAAAAACCUUAUAGAACAAAUCGAAGUGUUAAUAAAAAAUUUUAAUUACCUUUUUUCUUUUGUUUUUGAUAAGGACAAAUGGGACAUACAUUUUAUAUUUUUUUUUAUUGAUGCUUUGACUUGUAUCCAACAAAUAAGCAAAAAUGGGAAUAAAAAUGGGAAUAGUGUUUUUUUAAAAGAAUUUUUUUAUGUUAUAAAACAUUUGUUUAUUCAAGCGACUUAUGUUUUCGAAAGUAUGGAAGAGAGAAAUGGAUCGACUAAAGCAAGCGUGAAUGAAAAAAAAAACGUGUUACUUAUUAUUGACCUGAUUCGAGCUGAAAAUGAAAUUAUUUUUAACGUAAAGGAUAAAAUAUUUUUAUUUGAGCAUAAGAGGCUAAAUAGACUGGUUGAACAUAUUAAGGAGUGUACUAGCAGUAGUGGAAGUGGCAGUGGUAACAGUAGUGGAAGUGGCAAAGACAACAGUAGUGGCAGUGGCAACAGUAGUGGUAGUGGCAGUGGCAACAGUAGUGGUAGUGACAAUAAAAAAAAAAACGAAUUGUUGAUACUUUUAAAAUAUUUAUAUAUAACAAUUAUAAAUUUUUUAAUGCCAAGUAAACAAAAAAAAUGGCCAUUCUUUGAUUCAGGUAACUUUUUUUUUUUUAAAAUAUUAUUACUGAGAGUUAUUUGUUAUUUUGACAUUUGUUUUGGUUGUUAUGGGUGUGAAAGAGAGAUUAUAAACGAAGGCAUGCAUGAAGGAAAUAUUGAAAGUAACAACUUAGACAAAAAAAUAAGUAAUAACUUAAGCAAUAACAUAAGUAAUAACAAAAACAAUAACACAAGUAAUUACUUAAGCAAUAACACUAACCCGAAUACACACCCAAGUAAGUUCUUUUUGUUCAGUGUUUUUUUUAGAAGAAUAAAAAAAAAAUUAAAAUGUAAUUUGCACUUGAAAGAAUUAAGUAAUAAAAAUAUUUUUGCAGAUAUGGUAAUAAAUUAUAAAAAAAAAGUAAACUGGUUAAACAUGAAGAUAAAACCAAAACUAAUAUCUUAUGAAAUGGCAACAUAUACAACUUUUUCUUUUGACAUUUUAAACAAGAUUGUUUUAUGUGAUAAUGUAUUAAAUGAUGUAUACGAUACAAAUAAAUAUAAAAAUGUUAUUAUAAACUUAUGUAAAAACCAACUUUUUAGUUAUUUUUUUUUUUUACCUGCAAAAAAUACAGGUAAUUUUUUUUCACAGGCUAUUACAACUCUUUAUUAUUUGUAUAUUAUUUUUUAUAACAGUGGUAAAAACCAGGACUUACUUCAAUAUAUAACAUUAAUAAUAUUUUUAUGUUGUAAAAAAGCAAUGAGUAGUGUUAAUAAAAAGAAUAUUAUUUUUUAUGGAACUAAAAGAAAUAAACGUGGCAAUGUUAUUUGUAGUAAAAGUGGUGAUAAAUGUGAUGAUUAUACAAAAGAAGUUACCUUAGUAACUAAUUUUGAAAAACCUUAUAAAGAAUAUUAUUUAAAUGUAUCUUUAUACAUUUUUAUAACAUGUAUAGAAGCAUUCACAAAUAUAAUUAAGUGUAAUAUUAUUAAUUUUAAUCACCCCAAUAUAAACAAUAUUAUAAUCUCUAAAACAAAAAUUAUAAAGAAACAAAAAAAACAGCACAAAUAUUUAAAAAAAAAAAAAAAAACAUGUUUAGCUAUAUUUAACUAUAUAUAUAUGAGUUAUUUAUUUAAAUAUAUUAUGAAAGCAAAAAAUAUAAAAUAUUUCUACAAUACUAGGAAAUCUGUAUUAAAUUUUAUGGAUCAUUUUAUUAUAUGGAACACUAUUUUUAUUUUAAAAUAUAAAUUUAAAAAUAAUUUAAAUAUAAAAAACAUUUUAAAUUUUUGUAAUUAUAUUAUUUCUACUGAUUAUAAUAUAGAAGUCUUUUCAACCAUUUACAAUACUGUCUUUUCCUUAAAAAACUAUUUAACUUUAUGUGGAACCAAAAUUAAAAGCUUUAAUUAUUAUUUAAACGAAUGUGACAAUUUACUCUUUCAAAUUGUAGAUGAAUACAAAACUUAUGAUUAUACCCCAACAUAUUUAUGGGAAGAAUACAUAUCUAAAACAGUAAGUUUCAAUUCUUUGAUGUAUACUCACACAGAUUGCCCAGAGUAAUAGUGUAGAUGAUUUCCCCCCCCCCUACCUACCUAUUUACCUACAUUUCAACCGAUUUGUAAACACCCCAAUGUUAUGUAAUUUAUUUAUACAUACAUAUAAAAUGUAUAGAACUUGGUAGUAAUAUACCUUAUUU
rnacentral:lncRNA from 1 species